GUGUCAUGGUCAUUGCUGACCGUUUGUAUAAUCCCUGUAAUUGCUUUGCAGCUUAUGCGGGGAUUCUACGACGGUCAGCAGAUACCUUUGACAU
rfam:Medicago truncatula strain A17 chromosome 2, whole genome shotgun sequence.